CUCUCAUGGCCAUCAGGGGGGUACAGCUAGUUCACCAGUAAGGGGCCCGAGCCCCCGCUGCACCCCCGCCCCCCGGAGCCAUCUACUCCGCAUCCUUUUUUUAAAUAAAUCUUCAGCCUGCAGCCCUGUCACCACGCAGGGGCUGCGCUAUGCAGACUGGGAAGAGCAGACAGGAAGCUCCUCCCCCUCUCUCACUCCCCUGUAUACUGGACCUUGUGGAGCAGGCCCGCUGUGUGUAUACAGGCCCGGACACCACCAGUAUGGAAGACUUACCUGCCCAGUGCCCACUGCUCAUGCUGCCCUUUUAAAGAUAUCACGCUCUCUUCUUUACCACACACUGCCACCUGGCAUCAGGGACAGUUACACAUCUAUGCAUACAUAGAGACCAUCGACACAUUGAGGAUUAUUACCACUAUCUGCAGAUUACAUCAACAUUCAACAAUAAAAG